AAGACAACUAAACAAUUGUUAAACUGAUUGUUUACUGAAUCAUGUGUGACAGGAAGCCAGCACCUCAAACUCCACUGAGGACACAUUUCACAGUACAUCACAACAGAGUGACUCUACCUAUGAAGAACAUGAUAUGGGCGACCAUGGAGAGGAACUGAGAACUCUGCAGGACGCAUUAGCUAAUCACAAGCAGGACGUCAUAAAUCUGAAGCUUCAACUCAAGUCAAAGGAUGGCCAACUCCAUCAUCUUCAAAAGGAACUUCAGUAUGCACACACCUCAGAUGCUUUAAACCCUAAGAUUUUAAACCAAAGCCAUGUACCUGAUUAUUUCCACUACUGCACAGGGUUUUCUUAUGAGCAAUUAAACAGCUUGUGUCAAUUUUUUAACAUUCCAACUGAUCCAAGUGCACCACAAACACACAUUCCUCUCUCAUACAAACGUGUC